GACGAACGCUGGCGGCGUGCUUAACACAUGCAAGUCGAACGGAAAGGCCUCUUUCGGGGGGUACUCGAGUGGCGAACGGGUGAGUAACACGUGAGUAACCUGCCCUUGACUUUGGGAUAACUUCAGGAAACUGGGGCUAAUACCGGAUAGGAGCUCCUGCUGCAUGGUGGGGGUUGGAAAGUUUCGGCGGUUGGGGAUGGACUCGCGGCUUAUCAGCUUGUUGGUGGGGUAGUGGCUUACCAAGGCUUUGACGGGUAGCCGGCCUGAGAGGGUGACCGGCAAAAGUGGGAAGGAGAUAGAGCAAGGAGUGCUAGGGGGGGAAGCGGGGGGGAAGGGGGGACAGUGGGCGGAAGCCUGAGGAAGCAAAGCCGCGUGGGGGGUGAAGGGCGGUGGGUGGUAAACGGAAGGCGCAUGGGACGAAGAGGGAGGGACGGUAAGGGGUAAAGAAGCAACGGCUAACUACGUG
rnacentral:rRNA from 1 species